ensembl:lncRNA
GUCUGCCCGUCUCUGUCUGCCCGUCUCUGUCUGCCCGUCUCUGUCUGCCCGUCUCUGUCUGCCCGUCUCUGUGAUCCCAUUUAAUUCCACAGCACUCCCCAGUGUAUUGUAGUUGAAGCAGAAUCCAAGACUCAUAGAAGUGAAGGAAACCCUGCAGAUACGCAAAUGUAGCCCUUCCCCAUUCCAACCGACUCCCCCCGGUCCCCCCGGUCCACCCCCAGUCCCCCUCUCUCUUUCUCCCUCACUUCUUCCUCUUUCUCUGUCCCUCUUUCUUCUCUCUCUCUGUCUCAGUUUUUGUCUCUCUCUUUCUCUCUGCCUACUUCCACAAGCCCUGCAUUGUCACACCCAGCUAGAGAGGAGGGAGUUACCAGCAGGGUUGUCUGUAUCACAUGACGACGGUGAGGGUCUAGUGGAAGCAGACAGCUGCACUUGUUCUGCCAAACAGUCAUUACACCAGCCUUUAUACGCACGCCCGGAUUCUGCUUUCUUUCAAACUGACUGGAAUCAUUCCUAAGAAAAAUGUUUGCAUAGUUAAAGUGGAUUGGUACCUUUUUUGGUUCCAAUCAGCAGCUUAAUUAUUUGAUUUUUGGAGUGGCACAUACUGCUCUUGUGGGGGAGGGAUGGGACCGUAGGAACAUGGGAACAUAGAGGAACUCAUGGUAGAUGAGCAUAAUUAUGUGGACAAUGUGUUUGAGUUCUCCUGAACAAAUCAUGUAUAUGUACCGAACUGAAGAACAAGGAUCUGUUUUCUUGUGAGGAACGACACAAGUUUCAGUGACCACACAGUCCAAGACACUUUCUCUACUUUGACUCACUUAUUUAUGUCUGCCUUAUUUAUUUGAUGUUUUAUUAAAUCGGAGCACAAUUACUUAUUUAAAAAAACAUGUAUGAACAAUGUGACUAACUUUCAGUUGUGAUAUGAUGAUAUAUUCUGUAUAUUGUACAUAGGUAAACCCUGUUAAUAUCAAUGUGGAUUCAAGGUUAUUUUUUAAAAUGUACAGGGAUCACAAUGUAGAGAAAUUAGAGAUUAAACACAAGCAAUGUCAAGUGUUCCAGGAAGAAGCAAAACAAAGUUUUAACUGCAUUUUCACCUUCUGUAUUAUUUACUCC